AUACGGGGGGUCCGAGCGUUAUCCGGAAUCAUUGGGUUUAAAGGGUCCGUAGGCGGGAAUCUAAGUCAGUGGUGAAAUCUUGCAGCUCAACUGUAAAAUUGCCAUUGAUACUGGAUUUCUUGAAUUAGUGUGAAGUGGUUAGAAUGUGUAGUGUAGCGGUGAAAUGCAUAGAUAUUACACAGAAUACCAAUUGCGAAGGCAGAUCACUAACACUAUAUUGACGCUGAGGGACGAAAGCGUGGGGAGCGAACAGGAUUAGAUACCCUAGUAGUCC
rnacentral:rRNA from 1 species